GAUGAACGCUGGCGGCGUGCUUAACACAUGCAAGUCGAACGAUGAAAGCGGGAGCUUGCUCCUGCUGGAUUAGUGGCGAACGGGUGAGUAACACGUGAGUAACCUGCCCUUGACUCUGGGAUAAGCGUUGGAAACGACGUCUAAUACCGGAUACGACCUUCGGAGGCAUCUCCUGGGGGUGGAAAGAAUUUCGGUCAAGGAUGGACUCGCGGCCUAUCAGCUAGUUGGUGAGGUAAUGGCUCACCAAGGCGACGACGGGUAGCCGGCCUGAGAGGGUGACCGGCCACACUGGGACUGAGACACGGCCCAGACUCCUACGGGAGGCAGCAGUGGGGAAUAUUGCACAAUGGGCGCAAGCCUGAUGCAGCAACGCCGCGUGAGGGACGACGGCCUUCGGGUUGUAAACCUCUUUUAGUAGGGAAGAAGCGAAAGUGACGGUACCUGCAGAAAAAGCACCGGCUAACUACGUGCCAGCCGCCGCAGUAAUAC
rnacentral:rRNA from 1 species